CGGGUGAGUAACGCGUGGGUAACCUGCCUCACACAGGGGGAUAACAGUUGGAAACGGCUGCUAAUACCGCAUAAGCGCACAGUACCGCAUGGUACAGUGUGAAAAACUCCGGUGGUGUGAGAUGGACCCGCGUCUGAUUAGCUAGUUGGCAGGGCAACGGCCUACCAAGGCGACGAUCAGUAGCCGACCUGAGAGGGUGACCGGCCACAUUGGGACUGAGACACGGCCCAA
rnacentral:rRNA from 1 species